rnacentral:siRNA from 1 species
UAUGCCUGGCUCCCUGUAUGC